rnacentral:rRNA from 1 species
UAAGCAUAUCAAUAAGCGGAGGAAAAGAAACCAACAGGGAUUGCCCUAGUAACGGCGAGUGAAGCGGCAACAGCUCAAAUUUGAAAUCUGGCUCUUUCAGAGUCCGAGUUGUAAUUUGCAGAGGGCGCUUUGGAGUUGGCAGCGGUCCAAGUUCCUUGGAACAGGACGUCACAGAGGGUGAGAAUCCCGUACGUGGUCGCUAGCCUUCGCCGUGUAAAGCCCCUUCGACGAGUCGAGUUGUUUGGGAAUGCAGCUCUAAAUGGGAGGUAAAUUUCUUCUAAAGCUAAAUACUGGCCAGAGACCGAUAGCGCACAAGUAGAGUGAUCGAAAGAUGAAAAGCACUUUGGAAAGAGAGUCAAAUAGCACGUGAAAUUGUUGAAAGGGAAGCGCUUGCAGCCAGACUUGCCUGUAGUUGCUUAUCCGGACUCUUGUCCGGUGCACUCUUCUAUAGGCAGGCCAGCAUCAGUUUGGGCGGUUGGAUAAAGGUCUCUGUCACGUACCUCUCUUCGGGGAGGCCUUAUAGGGGAGACGACAUGCAACCAGCCUGGACUGAGGUCCGCGCAUCUGCUAGGAUGCUGGCGUAAUGGCUGUAAGCGGCCCGUCUUGAAACACGGACCAAGGAGUCUAACAUCUAUGCGAGUGUUUGGGUGUCAAGCCCAGACGCGUAAUGAAAGUGAACGGAGGUGGGAACCCUUUGGGUGCACCAUCGACCGAUCCUGAUGUCUUCGGAUGGAUUUGAGUAAGAGCAUGGCUGUUGGGACCCGAAAGAUGGUGAACUAUGCUUGAAUAGGGUGAAGCCAGAGGAAACUCUGGUGGAGGCUCGCAGCGGUUCUGACGUGCAAAUCGAUCGUCAAAUUUGGGCAUAGGGGCGAAAGACUAAUCGAACUAUCUAGUAGCUGGUUCCUGCGA